rnacentral:rRNA from 1 species
UACGGAGGGUGCGAGCGUUAAUCGGAAUUACUGGGCGUAAAGCGCACGCAGGUGGCUUGUUAAGUCAGAUGUGAAAUCCCUGGGCUCAACCUAGGAACUGCAUUUGAAACUGUCUAGCUAGAGUCUCAUAGAGGGGGGUAGAAUUCCAGGUGUAGCGGUGAAAUGCGUAGAGAUCUGGAGGAAUACCAGUGGCGAAGGCGGCCCCCUGGAUGAAGACUGACACUCAAGAGCGAAAGCAUGGGGAGCAAACAGG